rnacentral:lncRNA from 1 species
UUUUUUUAAUGAGAAAUAAUUCAGAUAAUGUUUGUUUUCGAAUUAUGAGUUCCCGUCUUGUAUCCAUUCCUAUAAGUUUAUAUUUUUUUUAAUAAAUAACACCAUUUACAUGUAACUAAAUAUUAUUUUAAUAUUUGUAAAAUUUCAUAUAAUCGUCCAAAAGUAGAGAUUUAUACGUCCCAAUGUUGAAUUUUGUACAAUAUUUUGAGAUUUUGACAAUUAAAUAUAACUACCAAUUUUUUUUAUUUCAACCGGUUAUCCAAAACUUAUAUAUCAUAUUUU